rnacentral:sRNA from 1 species
GCUGGGUGCGUUGGUGCAUGCCUGUAAUCCCAGCAGCUUUGGAGGCUGAGGCAGGAGGAUUGCAAGUUUAAAGCCAGCCUCAGCAAUCUAGCAGGGCCCUAAGUAACUUAGCAAGACCCUGUCUCAA